rnacentral:rRNA from 1 species
AACCGAGAACUCCUACGGGAGGCAGCAGUGGGGAAUUUUGGACAAUGGGGGCAACCCUGAUCCAGCAAUGCCGCGUGAGUGAAGAAGGCCUUCGGGUUGUAAAGCUCUUUUGUCAGGGAAGAAACGGUAGUAGCUAAUAUCUAUUACUAAUGACGGUACCUGAAGAAUAAGCACCGGCUAACUACGUGCCAGCAGCCGCGGUAAUACGUAGGGUGCAAGCGUUAAUCGGAAUUACUGGGCGUAAAGCGUGCGCAGGCGGUUGUGUAAGUCAGAUGUGAAAUCCCCGGGCUCAACCUGGGAAUUGCAUUUGAGACUGCACGGCUAGAGUGCGUCAGAGGGGGGUAGAGUUCCACGUGUAGCAGUGAAAUGCGUAGAUAUGUGGAGGAAUACCGAUGGCGAAGGCAGCCCCCUGGGAUACCACUGACGCUCAUGCACGAAAGCGUGGGGAGCAAACAGGAUUAGAAACCCUGGUAGUCCGACUGAGA